rnacentral:rRNA from 1 species
GACGAACGCUGGCGGCGUGCUUAACACAUGCAAGUCGAACGGAAAGGCCCCGCCUUUGUGGGGUGCUUGAGUGGCGAACGGGUGAGUAACACGUGAGUAACCUGCCCUUGACUCUGGGAUAACUUCAGGAAACUGCGGCUAAUACCGGAUAGGAGCCCCUGCUGCAUGGUGGGGGUUGGAAAGUUUCGGCGGUUGGGGAUGGACUCGCGGCUUAUCAGCUUGUUGGUGGGGUAGUGGCUUACCAAGGCUUUGACGGGUAGCCGGCCUGAGAGGGUGACCGGCCACAUUGGGACUGAGACACGGCCCAGACUCCUACGGGAGGCAGCAGUGGGGAAUAUUGCACAAUGGGCGGAAGCCUGAUGCAGCGACGCCGCGUGCGGGAUGACGGCCUUCGGGUUGUAAACCGCUUUCGCCAGUGACGAAGCGUAAGUGACGGUAAUGGGUGAAGAAGCACCGGCUAACUACGUG